UUGAUCUCCUCUCUCUCUCUCUCUCUCUCUCAAUUUAACCAUUUUUGCCGCCAUUAGAAACCCAGGUUCUUCCACUGGAUUCUCUCUCUCUCUCUCUCUCUGUAGAGGAAGAAUGUCCUGACAUUGAAAGCAAUGGAAGCUGAGACAGAGAGAAGUAGAGCAUCGUGGUCGUCAAAGAGAAGAAAACCAUUGUCUGAUAGCAGCAACCUCGUGAUCCCCACCUCCACCAUUCUUCGCAAGCUCUCUUCCUCCCUCUCCGCCAAACCCCCAUUCCCGAAUCCCAAUUCGAAACCCCACGUUUCAUCUUCUGCAACCAAACCUGACACCAAAUCCCACACCAGCAGCAUCGGAUCAUCUAAUUUCAAAGAAAAUGCUCCAAACCCUACCAACAUCCCACAGCCUCCUGCCUCUCCUCCUCUUCUUUCCAUUACCAAUUCCGGAAAUGGCAGCGAAGAUGCGUUUGAUCCUCUUGUAGUAUACAGUCGAAGACAGACUUCACGGAAAACAAAGGAUAGGGGGACGCCAGUUGCUUUGCCUUAUACUAUCUCUCCUCUCCAGAAAACAAAGGGCAAUGUGAAUGCAGAUACUGUGCCUUUGACAUACCCUGUUCUGAAGAAAUCGAAAGAUAAGGGGAAGGCAGCUGUUGUGCCUUUCACUUCCUAUUUGGUGGAGAACAUGAGGGAUGGAAGGAAGGAAAUCGCUACGCCUCAUAGUUUAUUCCCUCUGAGAAAAACAAAGGAUAAUGGGAAGGCUGUUUCAAUGCCUAUCAAUUUCCCUUCUCUGGAGAAUACAAAGAAUAAAAGGAAGAAAAUUGAUGCGCCGUUUAGUUGCCCUCCCUUGCCGAGGACCAAGAAGAUACGGAAUGAAUUUAAUCAAGCUGGAGAUAUUGGUAUAUCCAAAUCAUGCACUGUUCCUCAUCCAAAGUGUAAAAAGAAGAGGUGCCGCUUAAUGCCAGAGCAAGAUGUUUCAAAACAUAAUUUGCCACAAGAAUUUAUUGAGCAGCAGAGAGCUUAUUUUAAAGAGGUUGAUGAGUUUGAACUGCCAGAGGAGGAGAUAUCAGAAAGUGAGUUGGAUGAGGCGGAGACGAGGAAUACAUUUCAGGAUAUGAAGUAGGGCCACCUAACCAAUUGACUUUUUCUGUAUAGUUUAGAAGAAUAUAUUUCCCAAAUUCCAGCUUCUACAAGUUAUAGCAAUAAGGAUUUCUUUACGAUUGUGAAUGAAUGACAUAAUGACGUAGUUGUAUUGACUCUGCAAAUUGAACAAAUUGCCAUGUGCGUGUGAGUUCGUUGUAAUUAGCAUGCUAACGAGUAUAUACCUAUGCGAAUGGCCAGAGGGUUGACAUCCAACCAUUGAAGCAUUUUGACUCUGCCCAGUAAAUUGGAAUCAACAGUCAAGAUUAUCAACAACGGUGGAAAUUUCGUUUUAAAUAAUGGUGGUGGUUACUGUAAUGGUAACGGUAGUGUUGAUAGGCUUACAGGGUGUAACAGACGUAGUAUAACGGUGGCGACAAUCAGAAUCGU